rnacentral:rRNA from 1 species
CAGCAGCCGCGGUAAAACGGAGGGAGCUAGCGUUGUUCGGAAUUACUGGGCGUAAAGCGCGCGUAGGCGGUUACUCAAGUCAGAGGUGAAAGCCCGGGGCUCAACCCCGGAACUGCCUUUGAAACUAGGUGACUAGAAUCUUGGAGAGGUCAGUGGAAUUCCGAGUGUAGAGGUGAAAUUCGUAGAUAUUCGGAAGAACACCAGUGGCGAAGGCGACUGACUGGACAAGUAUUGACGCUGAGGUGCGAAAGCGUGGGGAGCAAACAGGAUUAGAUACCCGGGUAGUCCCUGUCUCUUAUAC